GCCAGGUGAUGUGGUGUACACUUGUAGUCUCAGCUACUUGGGAGACUGAGGUAGAAGGAUCACUUGAGCCCAGGAGUUAGUUCAAGGCCAGCCAGCCUCAGCAACAUAGUGAGGCCUUGUCUCCA
rnacentral:sRNA from 1 species